rnacentral:rRNA from 1 species
GAUGAACGCUGGCGGCGUGCCUAAUACAUGCAAGUCGAGCGAACGGACGAGAAGCUUGCUUCUCUGAUGUUAGCGGCGGACGGGUGAGUAACACGUGGAUAACCUACCUAUAAGACUGGGAUAACUUCGGGAAACCGGAGCUAAUACCGGAUAAUAUUUUGAACCGCAUGGUUCAAAAGUGAAAGACGGUCUUGCUGUCACUUAUAGAUGGAUCCGCGCUGCAUUAGCUAGUUGGUAAGGUAACGGCUUACCAAGGCAACGAUGCAUAGCCGACCUGAGAGGGUGGUCGGCCACACUGGAGCGGAGCCACGGUCCAGACUCCUACGGGAGGCAGCAGUCGGGUACCUUCCGCAGUGGGCGAGAGUCUGACGGAGCAACGCCGCGUGAGUGAUGAAGGUCUUCGGAGCGUAAUACUCUGUUAUUAGUGAAGAACAUAUGUGUAAGUAACUGUGCACAUCGUGACGGUACCUAAUCAGAAAGCCACGGCUAACUACGUG